AACAGAGGGUGCGAGCGUUACUCGGAAUUACUGGGCGUAAAGCGCGCGUAGGCGGCUUUGCAAGUCGGGUGUGAAAUCCCCAGGCUUAACCUGGGAACUGCAUUCGAGACUGCAUUGCUAGAGUAUGGGAGAGGGAAGUGGAAUUUCCGGUGUAGCGGUGAAAUGCGUAGAUAUCGGAAGGAACAUCAGUGGCGAAAGCGACUUCCUGGACCAAUACUGACGCUCAUGUGCGAAAGCGUGGGGAGCAAACAGG
rnacentral:rRNA from 1 species